CGUGCGGACCGAAAUCGGUAAGAACAUGACUUUUAAUCAUGUGGUCGUGGGUUCGAGUCCCACCCGGAUCACCA
rnacentral:tRNA from 1 species